AUGGCAGUAAUUAAUCAGAUAUCUGUGGAGGAAAAGAGCUGUGAUGAAAAGUAUGGCAAACCAAAUAAACGAAAAGGUUUUAAUGAAGGUUUAUGGGAGAUAGAUAACAAUCCAAAAGUGAAAUUUUCAAGUCAACAGGCAUCAGCUAAACAAUCAAAUGCAUCAUCUGAUGUUGAAGUUGAAGAAAAAGAAACUAGUGUUUCAAAGGAAGAUACUGACCAUGAAGAAAAAGGCAGCAAUGAGGAUGUGACUAAAGCAGUUGACAUAACCACUGCAAAAGCUGCCAGAAGAGGGAGAAAGAGAAAGGCAGAAAAGCAAGUAGAAACGGAGGAAGCAGAAGUAGUGACGCCAGCAACGGCAUCUGUUAAUCUAAAAGUGAGUCCUAUAAGAGAACGGCCUGCAGCUACAGAAGUCAAGAUUCCAAAACCAAAAGGCAGACCCAAAAUGGUAAAACAACCCUGUCCUUCAGAGAGUGACAUAGUUCCUGAAGAAGACAAAAGUAAGAAAAAGGGGCAAGAGGAAAAACAACCUAAAAAGCAGCUUAAAAAGGAAGAAGAUAAGCCAAGAAAGGAGCCAGACAAAAAAGAGGAGAAGAAGGAAGUCAAAUCAAAAAGGAAAAAUUUAGCUAAAACAGUGGUUACAUCAACCUCUGAUUCUAAAGAAGGAGAAGAUCAAGAAGGUGAAAAGAAGAGAAAAGGUGGGAGAAACUUUCAGACUGCUCACAGAAGAAAUAUGCUGAAAGGUCAACAUGAGAAAGAGGCAGCAGCUCGAAAACGCAAGCAAGAGGAACAAAUGGAAACUGAGCACCAAACAACAUGUAAUCUACAGUAAUAAAAAUAUAUCUCAUUUUGGGCUCAAAGCAUUAAUCCAGUUUCUGAAAAGAGAACACAAGUGGAGCAAACAAGAGAUGAAGAUCUUGAGACAAACUCAUUGGACUGAAUUUUCCCCUCCCCCCCAUUGAUGGAAGAACGUUCCAGAUUCUAAAUUGAGGACUUCAUUACU